rnacentral:rRNA from 1 species
UACGAAGGGUGCAAGCGUUAAUCGGAACUACUGGGCGUAAAGGGUGCGUAGGCGGUUCGUUAAGUCUGUCGUGAAAUCCCCGGGCUCAACCUGGGAAUGGCGAUGGAUACUGGCGAGCUAGAGUGUGUCAGAGGAUGGUGGAAUUCCCGGUGUAGCGGUGAAAUGCGUAGAGAUCGGGAGGAACAUCAGUGGCGAAGGCGGCCAUCUGGGACAACACUGACGCUGAAGCACGAAAGCGUGGGGAGCAAACAGG